AACGCGAAGAACCUUACCCACCUUUGACAUGUACGGAAUCCUUUAGAGAUAAAGGAGUGCUCGAAAGAGAACCGUAACACAGGUGCUGCAUGGCUGUCGUCAGCUCGUGUCGUGAGAUGUUGGGUUAAGUCCCGCAACGAGCGCAACCCUUGCCAUUAGUUGCUACGAAAGGGCACUCUAAUGGGACUGCCGGUGACAAACCGGAGGAAGGUGGGGAUGACGUCAAGUCCUCAUGGCCCUUAUAGGUGGGGCUAGAAACGUCAUACAAUGGCCGGUACAAAGGGUCGCUAAGCCGCGAGGUGGAGCCAAUCCCAUAAAGCCGGUCGUAGUCCGGAUCGCAGUCUGCAACUCGACUGCGUGAAGUCGGAAUCGCUAGUAAUCGUGGAUCAGCAUGUCACGGUGAAUACGUUCCCGGGUCUUGUACACACCG
rnacentral:rRNA from 1 species